AUUGAACGCUGGCGGCGUGCUUAACACAUGCAAGUCGAGCGGCAGCGCGGGAGCAAUCCUGGCGGCGAGCGGCGAACGGGUGAGUAAUGCUUCGGAAUCUGCCCUUCAGUGGGGAAUAACCAGUCGAAAGACUGGCUAAUACCGCAUACGAACUGAGGUUGAAAGCAGGGGAUCGCAAGACCUUGCGCUGAUGGAUGAGCCGAAGUCGGAUUAGCUAGUUGGUAGGGUAACGGCCUACCAAGGCGACGAUCCGUAGCUGGUCUGAGAGGACGACCAGCCACACUGGGACUGAGACACGGCCCAGACUCCUACGGGAGGCAGCAGUGGGGAAUAUUGGACAAUGGGGGCAACCCUGAUCCAGCGACGCCGCGUGUGUGAAGAAGGCCUGCGGGUUGUAAAGCACUUUUAGUUGGGGAGGAAGGUCUGCGACCUAACACGUCGUGGAAUUGACUUAACCCACAGAAAAAGACACCGGCUAACUCUGUGCCA
rnacentral:rRNA from 1 species